rnacentral:siRNA from 1 species
CAAAGAUGCGGUUGAGUGAUAGC